ACAACAACAACAGAAGGGAUGAUGGGUGGCCGAUGAAGUACUAAUCUUAUUUCUAACAUUUGAAAUCAAUACAUUUCAAAUUGUGACAAAUUGGAUUAGUCUGCCCAAAAUCAUCUCUUAACGUUGCCUACGCUACGUUUAUUUCACUAUGAUUAUUGAUUAGGCAGUGCUAAUCCUCCCCUAGAACCCGGGAGGAUUUUUUU
rnacentral:sRNA from 1 species